rnacentral:rRNA from 1 species
AUGGGGAUGCGUUCCAUUAGUUUGUUGGCGGGGUAACGGCCCACCAAGACUACGAUGGAUAGGGGUUCUGAGAGGAAGGUCCCCCACAUUGGAACUGAGACACGGUCCAAACUCCUACGGGAGGCAGCAGUGAGGAAUAUUGGUCAAUGGGCGAGAGCCUGAACCAGCCAAGUAGCGUGAAGGAUGAAGGCUCUAUGGGUCGUAAACUUCUUUUAUAUGGGAAUAAAGUUUUCCACGUGUGGAAUUUUGUAUGUACCAUAUGAAUAAGGAUCGGCUAACUCCGUGCCAGCAGCCGCGGUAAUACGGAGGAUCCGAGCGUUAUCCGGAUUUAUUGGGUUUAAAGGGAGCGUAGGUGGAUUGUUAAGUCAGUUGUGAAAGUUUGCGGCUCAACCGUAAAAUUGCAGUUGAAACUGGCAGUCUUGAGUACAGUAGAGGUGGGCGGAAUUCGUGGUGUAGCGGUGAAAUGCUUAGAUAUCACGAAGAACUCCGAUUGCGAAGGCAGCUCACUAGACUGUCACUGACACUGAUGCUCGAAAGUGUGGGUAUCAAACAGGAUUAGAUACCCUGGUAGUCCACACAGUAAACGAUGAAUACUCGCUGUUUGCGAUAUACAGUAAGCGGCCAAGCGAAAGCAUUAAGUAUUCCACCUGGGGAGUACGCCGGCAACGGUGAAACUCAAAGGAAUUGACGGGGGCCCGCACAAGCGGAGGAACAUGUGGUUUAAUUCGAUGAUACGCGAGGAACCUUACCCGGGCUUAAAUUGCAACAGAAUAUAUUGGAAACAGUAUAGCCGUAAGGCUGUUGUGAAGGUGCUGCAUGGUUGUCGUCAGCUCGUGCCGUGAGGUGUCGGCUUAAGUGCCAUAACGAGCGCAACCCUUAUCUUUAGUUACUAACAGGUUAUGCUGAGGACUCUAGAGAGACUGCCGUCGUAAGAUGUGAGGAAGGUGGGGAUGACGUCAAAUCAGCACGGCCCUUACGUCCGGGGCUACACACGUGUUACAAUGGGGGGUACAGAAGGCGGCUACCUGGUGACAGGAUGCUAAUCCCAAAAACCUCUCUCAGUUCGGAUCGAAGUCUGCAACCCGACUUCGUGAAGCUGGAUUCGCUAGUAAUCGCGCAUCAGCCAUGGCGCGGUGAAUACGUUCCCGGGCCUUGUACACACCGCCCGUCAAGCCAUGAAAGCCGGGGGUACCUGAAGUACGUAACCGCAAGGAGCGUCCUAGGGUAAAACUGGUAAUUGGGGCUAAGUCGUAACAAGGUAGCCGUACCGGAAGGUGCGGCUG